ACUCGGUGGAAGAUGGAAUUGCACUGAUCACACUUGAUGCAGCCAUCGUCGAAGGGAAAGAUCACCUCGUUGUUGCUACAAAUCUCGCAAAUGUACGCUUGGGCAAGGCACAUGGGGCAGGAUCGUAUGUGAUCAUUGAAUGCCUUGAAAACUCCUUGCAGAAAUUCGCUCAGCGCUCCAGAUUCCACCUGGCUGAGAUCACUUAGGGAAUAGAACUCAUUUGACUGGGCCAGAUGUCGCCGGACACCCAGUUGCUGAUCCACCAGCUUCAACUCGCUGGCAAUCUUGCAGGCAGCCAGAUAGUAUUUUCUACGAGGAAGGAGUCUAAUUAUUCGGAACCAAAAGAGUAGCCUUAACUUACUUAUAUUUAGCAUCGUCCCGCACUCGGCGCACUUGUAUCCCUGGGAGGCGAGUCCGAUUUCUGGACAUAUCUCCGAAAUGGGAUGCUGCCGCUCUGAAACCAGGACAUGGGCACAAACCCUCUUCACGCCAUCGAUGCACUUCUGAUGGACCAGGAAUCCGCAAUCGCUGCACACGUACGAGUUCUGCACCACACUCCAAAUAAUGGUGGUGCAGUGGUCACAGUAGUUCCUCUUGGCGGCUGCCUGCAGACGAUUCCGUUUGCCAUGAUGCGGGUGAUGGGGCACAAAAUGAUGACCCACCACAGCACGUAUGGCAUUCAUAACUACCAUGUCCGACGAUAGGGAAUGCUGCUCCUGGGCCUCCUCCAGCUCCUGCAGUGAGUAUCGCAAAUCUACCAGGUGCCGCACCAACCAGCGACGCUCCUCGCUGAGUUCCUCGCUCAGCAGGACGAGAUCUCUGCAAUGGGCGAUGGCCGCCUGCAAAUCCUGGAUAUUGGCAUCGCUGGUGAAGAUUAGGCGCC
ensembl:ncRNA asRNA:CR45892 antisense RNA:CR45892